rnacentral:rRNA from 1 species
CAGAGGUGCCAAGCGUUAGGCGGAAUCACUGGGCUUAAAGCGUGUGUAGGCGGAUCGUUAAGUACCUUGUGAAAUCCCACGGCUCAACCGUGGAACUGCUGGGUAUACUGGCGGUCUUGAGCCACCUAGGGGCAACUGGAACAAGCGGUGGAGCGGUGAAAUGCGUAGAUAUCGCUUGGAACGCCAACGGUGAAAACAGGUUGCUGGGGGUGUGCUGACGCUGAGACACGAAAGCCAGGGGAGCGAACGGGAUUAGAUACCCCGGUAGUCCUGGCCCUAAACGAUGUCGACUAGAUCGUAGUGCCUCUGACGGUAUUACGGCCGAAGCAAAAGUGCUAAGUCGACCGCCUGGGAAGUACGGUCGCAAGGCUA